rnacentral:tRNA from 1 species
UAAAUUUUAGUUUUAUAAAAAUAUUUUAGUUACAUUAAAAAGAAAAUUAAUUAUAAUUAAAUUUUA